rnacentral:rRNA from 1 species
UACAGAGGUCCCAAGCGUUGUUCGGAUUCACUGGGCGUAAAGGGUGCGUAGGCGGUCGGGUAAGUCUGACGUGAAAUCUCCAAGCCUAACUUGGAAACUGCAUUGGAUACUAUCCGGCUAGAGGAAUGGAGGGGAGACUGGAAUACUUGGUGUAGCAGUGAAAUGCGUAGAUAUCAAGUGGAACACCAGUGGCGAAGGCGAGUCUCUGGACAUUUCCUGACGCUGAGGCACGAAAGCCAGGGGAGCAAACGGG